UACCCAGGCUAAGGCUCCCAAGAUUUUUCAGCACAGGUAAGCUUGUGCUUGGUUGCCACUGAGAGAUCUAUAGUUACUAAGUUGAUACCUGGUUCAUAAGUUCCUUAAUGUUGAGGGUACAUCCUUCCCUAUGUCACCAGGACAAAAAGCAGUUGAGGUGGUGGGUUGCUAUUUUCUUUGACACUGAUUUCAUUUAUUAUGUAAGCAGCACACCUUGACAAGGGAAACAGGUGGAAUUUAAGGAAACACAGUCUGGAGAAUACGCUACCUUGGGAAACUGAGUUUGACAGUUCCCUUGGUUGCUUGGGAUUUCUUUAGUAGCUAACAAACACAGCAUCUCAACUUUUGGCAGGAGCCCAAGAGACUGGACGAAUCCGUCUGGGGCCUCGUAAGAGACACUUUGUGGGGAAUUAUACUCCCUUGGUAAAUUCCGGUUUAUCUUAUAGUAGGUUGUGGAAGUUUGGCUUUCUAUAGACUCAUUCAACUUUUUUUUUUUUUAAGGUAUGGCUGGUGCCACACAUCUACACAUCUAAACACUAGAUGGCAACCUUGCCUUUUGUAUCACCAUCAAAGCCAUGUUAUAAACUCGUACUUAUUAAAGAAAUAAAUUCCACCAGCAAAUCUCAGCGUUCCUCUCCCACAGUUUUAUUUAAUACUGGUAUCCAGAUAUAACACACAAAGGCCCUUCUUAAAGGCAGACCCAAUAAUGUGUAUAGACUUAAUUAUUUUUUUUAAAGCCUUUGCCCUAAUGCCUGCAGCCUUUCUGUUGUUAGAAUUUCCUCACCUUCCUGGGCAUGGACAUUCAUGGAUUAAAUGAAUCCUGGUUGUUCCUGGCAGAGGGCAGAGCUAAGUGGUAGAGCUUGUGCUUAGCAUGCAUAAGGUCCUGGGUUCAAUCGCCAGUACCUCCAUUAAAAUAAAUAAAAUAAACAAACCUAAUUACCUACCCGUCCCACCAAAACAAACACUUGUUCCAGGAAUGGGGGAUUCUCUGGUGAAUAAGAGACAAGGUCCUUCUUUUUGUGGAACUUGCACUGAAGUAGAAGAGGCAGUAACAAAUGAGAACAGGAAAGAAAGCUAUGUGGAUAGUUGAGAUCUAUGAAGAAAGGAAGGACAAGAAAAGAGGCCCCAGAUCCAAAGCCUAAAGAAUAUCAACGUUUAGAAUUCUGAUUCUGAAGGAAGGACCAGCAAAAUGCAAGAAGCAGAUGGUGUGCUCCAGUAGGACAGAGCCCGGAGCUGUUCUGCUCACCACACCAUAUGUGCCCCUGCCCCCGCCUCAGCCCCAACGGAGCCCACAUGGAAUUGUUGCCUCCUCCCAGCAAAGCUCAAGCAGUGACUGACAACCAGAAGUAAAUGUCCAAAUCGUCUGCUAUCAAUGAUGCUGACUCCGAUACUGUUCUGUCCUGCCUCCCAGGGCUCCCUGGUUGCCCACCAAGGAACUGACUCCAAGCGUAUGAUUUACUGCCUUCCUUCCCUGCCCUCCCUCACUUUUUCACCUCAUACCAGUGCUUCAUGGGAUCACAUCUCAAAUAAACCACCUCUACUAAUUUCCUUCCUUCAGGUUCUGCUUCUUUGGAAACCCAACCUACAAACCACUGAAAAGAAUGGAAUAUAAACCCAAAAGAAGAGGAUAAACCCUGGCACAGGACAAUUAACAAAAUCCCAGAAGAGAAGGUAGAACCCAGGAGAAGAAAAAUAAUUAGGAGCACUCAGGUUCUGCUCUUUUCAUGCCUGUCCUAUCCCCAGACAACUCUACUCCCAGCUGGACAGUGGAAAUUUAGGAAGGUUGAACUGCUGCAUCAA